GAAGUGUAAUUGCACAAGCCUUCUCUUGAUUUGGGUCCCACUAAAACAACCAGCUUUUCAAGUCAGUUGGUAAAUGGGCCUGAGUAACACACCAAAAUGAGGAGUGUAUUGCUGCCAAAAUCAAAAAGGGACAAUUCGAUGCUAUGCCCCUUUUUUGGUUGUGUCUUGACAUACCAAGUUAUACCUCAAAAGAAAGACCCAAAAAUGUUUUGGAACAAGGAUGAAAAAAUCUAAAGACAAUCUGAUGAAAACAAGAUGCAAAAAAGAAGGCGUUUUAAAUAAGUCUACAAGAAAAGACAUGUUGGUUCCGAUAUGUUGCCACUGGAUCCCUAGAAAUUUUAUUGACAUAGAAAUCCCCUAGAUUUUUGUUGAAUUUAUCAGGUGAAAUAUUUUAUCACUCUCUGACAUGCAAAUGUCUCAUCAAUAAGUCUAGAGAUGUUAUUACUUGCUCACUAAGUCCAAACCAGCAUAGUAUCAAUAUAAGGAAUCAGUGUGAUAUCUUGUGGAAGGGAAAAAUGAUCAAGAUCCCUGUGAACUAAAUUAUGACAUAAGACUAGAAAGUUGCUAUAUCCUUGAAGUAGGACUGUGCAGGUGUAUUGUUGACCUUGCAGCUGAAAGUAAAUGUCUCCUCGUGGUAUUUACUAACAGGUAUAUAAAACAAAAUCUUUGCCUGAACAAUAGCACCAUACCAUGUACUUAGGGGUGUGUUAAUUUACUUAAACAAUAAAAUCAUAUCUGGUACAGUG